CAGAGGCAAACGUUUCCACGAUUCUUGACCUUUUAGAGUUUUCUCUCAAAAUUUUCUCUCUCAAUAAAACUGGAGAAAAUAUUUUUCGAAGAUUUUUACAAGCGGAAGUUCACGACGUUCUUAAAAUAUGAUCUUGGAAAAGCGCUUGAAUCUGCGUGGAAUCAUCGUUGAGCGCGUGGGGUGUGGAGAAACCAUCAUUCACAGAUUGAAGAUAGGUGUAAAGCUUCGACUUGAACGGCUAAAGAAGUAGCAACGACAAAGAAAAAAAAACAGAUAAGUUUGUUUACUGCUUUUGUCUUUAUGUUUCCUUCUUUUUAUUGCUUUUGUUUAGGUUUUAUCGAACCUAAGAGAUUAGGUAGACAAUCUUCUACUGCCGCUUCUUGUUUUUGUUCCAAAAAGAUCAUGAGCAGACACUAAUCUAAUGGUGUUCUAGCCAGAUUCUUAUUUUGGGGACAUUGUCGCUAGUCCCUGUUGCGUGAAAGCUUAGUCCCGGAGGAAAUUUAAACUCAUCUCCCUAGUAACUAUUUGUUGGUAGUGGCAUAGUGCAUGUUUGGGGGAUGGAAAGUAAAACAUACUUUUAGUACCCACGGUUUUUAUAAAGACAACCAUCGGCUUAAUAAAAAAGAUCUUUAGACUGUGAUUGAAUCGUAUUCAUCACAUCUUUAGACAAAGACUGUGAUUGAAAACAUCUUCAUCACGUUAGUACCCACGGCUUACAAAAAAAUGUCUUUUGACAAAAAAAAAUGUUUGGGGUAUGGAAAGUAAAACAUACUCUAGUACCCACGGCUUAUACAAAAAAACCAUCGGGCUUAAAAAAAAGGUCUUUAGACAGAAAAUAGCUAUGUCUAGCUAUGAAAUUGAUGGAUGGACAAAGAGACCGUCGGCUAUGAAUUGAUUUUGAACUUGUUGGAUGGAAAUAAUGAUCACAAGUCAUGAAAACUAAUCGUGUCCCGAGUCCCGUUGUGUGAAAUAAGGAUCAUAAAAGUUAAUGGGAAGAUCUUUGCUACCCACGGCUUUGUUACUAUUGGAAUGUACGGUUUGAGAGAGAAAGUCUUCAGACAGAGACUUUAAAACUAACCACAUCCAUUGCUGCUUGCCCACAGCUCUAUGAAGCAAAAGAUGUUUGAGGAUGCAAGUGUGAUAAAACUUAGUACCCUCGGCUUAAAAUAACAAGUCUUUAGACAGAGACUCUGAUUGAAUAAACGUUCAUUACGUCAGUACCCACGGAUUGCAAGAAAAUCUUGAGACCGAGACUGUAAAUCAUUAAAUUAGUACCCACGGCUUGCAAAAAAAAACUUUUUAGACAAAGACUGUGAAUACAAUAUCUUCAUCACACUAGUAUUCACAGCUUGCAAAAAGGGUCUUAGACAAAGACUGAUCACAUUUGUACCCACGGCUUAUGAAAAGUAUUAGGACAAAGUCAGGUAACUGAAUAUGAAUGCAUAAAGACAAAGACUUGCCAAAAAGGUCUUUAGACACAGACAAUGAAUGAAAACGUCUUAUUCAAGUUUGUAUUCAUCACAUUAGUACCCACGGCUUGCAAAAAGAGUUUUAGACAAACUCAUACUGUGAUUGAGUAUGUCUUCAUAACAUGAGUACCCUCGGCUUGCAAAAAGGGUUUAGACAAAAGACUGUGACUGAAAGCGUAUUCAUCACACGUGUACCCACAUCUUUUGCAAAAAAGGUCUUUAGAAACAGAUCAGAACGUCUUAUCAUACCCACGGCUUGCAAGAAAGGUCUUUAGAAAAGAGACUGUGAUUGAAAACUUUUUAAUCACAUUUGUACCCACGUCUUUGCAAAAAGUUUUAGACAGAGGCUAUGAGAUCAUCUCAAUGGCUUCAAACAAUCCAAACAAAGACUGUGAAUUGAUUUUGAACUUUCUGAAUGGAAACAACAACGACCACUGGUUAUGAAGAGUCACUGGAAAAUAUUGCUACCCACGGCUUUAUGAAUUGGUUUAGAUGAUAUUGAAUCAAAACCAAAUCCAUUGCUUACGCACGUCUCUAUGAAGCAAAUGAUGUUUGGGGAUGCAAAGUAUGACAAAACUUUAGCACCAAUGGCUUACCAAACAAGUCUUUUGAAAAAGACUGUGAUUGUAAACGUAAUUAGUACCCACGGCUUACCAAUAAAGUCUUUAAGACUCAUUGAAAAUGUGUUCACUGGAAUAGUAUAGUACCACGUUUAGACAAAGACUGUGAGUGAACACUUCUUCAUCACAUUUGUGAAGAAUCCUACGACAAUAGUUCUACUUAUGCCCAGUGGCUCAACGAAGUCUUGAGACAGAGACAGAGACUAUGUAUAGACAAAUAGAACGACCAACGGCUGAAAAGAGUUGUUAAACAUACUAUGAAUCAAAAACAGAGUCCUUACUAACGACAAGCCUUGUCAAAGCAUUUAGAAAAGGACUACACAUCAGUUUUUUGGCUUGUUGGAUGGGAAACGUAGCCAAUGGUCUAAAACCAAGUCUUUAAGGCAGAAGACUAUAAACCAAAUAUUGUUUUAGCUUGCUGGAUGGUUAAAACGACAGACAGCUUAUACCAAGUCUAAGACAGUAUGAACCAAGAAUGAGUUGGUUUUUGGCUUGUUGGAUGGUAAAAACGGCCAACAACGUAACCAAGUCUUGAGACAGAGACUGUGAACCAAAAUUUGGAAUUGGUUUUUGGAUGGUAAAACCGACCAAUAGCAUAAAGAAGGGUCUUUACACAAAGACUGUGAUUGAAAGCGUAUUCAUGACAUUAGUACCCACAGCUUUGCAAGAAAGUCUUUAGACAAAGACUGUGAGUAAACACUUCUUCAUCACAUUAGUACUCGGGCUUGAAAAGGUCUUUAAACAAAGACUAAGAGCUUACACCAUGAACCAAAAAUAACAUUAUUCCUUAUUUUUUCCACUUAUAGGGUAAAAAAGUUCACAAGGUAAACUAUGAGGUAUUUUGUGUCAACUAAAGACUAAUUAGUUAUGAUUUCCUCAGGUUUUGUAUGGUGCUUCAGAAGACUCAGAGAGACGAUUUCAAGUGUAUCAAAAUUCUUUGAAGCCAUGGAACAGCAAACAAUAAGCAUCACGAAAGCUGGGAUUCAAGCAACCUUGGAAGCAGUUGUUAAGAGUCAUUUAGAAACUCUGGUGAAACUGAGUCGUGUUCUUUUAGCUGUCAAACUUUUAAAAACUUCAGUUAUCAAAGUGUUAAUUCAGGGGAUAUCGAUCUUUCAGAGUAUCAAUAUGCUACACAGAUGAAGUCGAAAAUCCUGGUAAUGGAGAUGAAGAUCAACAGAACGGUGCAGCCGAGUCAGCUCCUGCUACUGCAGAUAAUGGAGCAGCAGCUCCGUUGAAGAAUCACACAGGCCUUAAGUCAUUCGCCUUAGACAACACGAAGAAACUGUAAACAAAGACAGCAAGCACUCUUCAGUUCUCGCAACUCGUGAUACAAAUUAACUCUUGUUCUUCCUUAGGUUCUGAAAGAGCAAGUCAAACUUGAAAUCAAGAAACUCAGAGCCAUUAUUGAGGCCAACCUCAUGGUACGAAUCUCACUAUGUACGGCUUAGGAAAGUCCCAUAAACCAAGUAACAUAUGUACUUACUUUACCACUUACAGGGUAAAAACUCACAAGGGUAAAAACUCACAAGGUAACUAUGAGGCAUUUUGGUCCCUAGACGAUUUCAAGUGUAUCAGAUUCUUGGACAGGUAUGUGCUUUUCAAACUUGUUUUGUUACUUUAGUUGAUACAAAUAUAAUAAUCACAGAUUCACAAGCAUGAGAGACUGGCAUGAAGUGAAGACUAUAUACAUUUGUUUAGGUAUGUGCUUCAUAAACUGUUCAUACCUCUCAUUGACGCCAAGUUUAUGUCCAGGAUUAUCUAAAACUGACGCCAACCAAGAAGAGCGAAGGCUCCUGUACUCGUCUGCAACCAAAUACUGAGUCAUCAAACGCACCUAACGACGCCAACGUCCCCAACUCAGAAAAUGCUUCUCGGUUAUCUCGAUAAGCCCGAAUGCUCAUACGAUCAGCAAAACCAAGACAGAUACCCUCAAGAGGUUAGAAUCUGAAAUCGUGUUAACUGCAGUUUUUACAGAUUAUCAGAAAAUACUGAUCACGUAAUUCGGCAUCUAUUAAGGCAAACAUUAUUAUUUUGUUUAUGAGCUAACAACACGUAACAAUUCAAAAAAACGUGGAAGAGGCACACCCUUAUCACAUCAAGGCAAAUAAACCAUUAACAAAUCUAGCCACUCAUUUACGAGUUCCUGCCUGUAUUGACAACUACUUUCUCUGCAUCAACAAGGAUGCUUACCCACUGACAUGAUAUGAACCAAAAAGCUCACGAGUUCCUGCCUGUAUUGGACUUGUAUUAGUAAUUUGGUAUGUUUUUAUUGAAGGAUCUCAGCAAAUCUGCCUUUGUUCGCAACACCACAAUCAAAAGUUCUAACAAAAAUCAAACUCUCCAGAUCAUUGUUACAACCAGAGAUAAACCUGAGUGGCGGAAUGCCUACUAGCACUUCCAAUGGUUGAAGGCUUUCAAUGUAAAUUCACUUCUACAAAAAUGUGUCUCAGGUACAUUGCGUAUUUGAGUCUAUUAGCAAAUCUGAAAUGUGUCUAAAUGUAAAAUUCUCUUGUUUAUGUAGUAAAGUUUCUUGAAUAAAAAUUAAAUGGUAUGUGAAUAGCGGUUUCGAUA